AUUGAACGCUGGCGGCAUGCCUUACACAUGCAAGUCGAACGGAUUCAGGGGCUUGCUCCUGAGUCAGUGGCGAACGGGUGAGUAAUGCAUCGGAACGUACCCAGUUGUGGGGGAUAACGUAGCGAAAGUUACGCUAAUACCGCAUACGACCUGAGGGUGAAAGCGGGGGACUCGCAAGAGCCUCGCGCAAUUGGAGCGGCGGAUGUCAGAUUAGCUAGUUGGUGGGGUAAAAGCCUACCAAGGCGACGAUCUGUAGCUGGUCUGAGAGGACGACCAGCCACACUGGGACUGAGACACGGCCCAGACUCCUACGGGAGGCAGCAGUGGGGAAUUUUGGACAAUGGGCGAAAGCCUGAUCCAGCCAUGCCGCGUGAGUGAAGAAGGCCUUCGGGUUGUAAAGCUCUUUUGUCAGGGAAGAAACGGUCGUGGCUAAUAUCCAUGGCUAAUGACGGUACCUGAAGAAUAAGCACCGGCUAACUACGUGCCAGCAGCCGCAGUAA
rnacentral:rRNA from 1 species